rnacentral:lncRNA from 1 species
AAUGUAAUAUAACAUAAUCAGAAUUUAUUUUGUUUUUUUAAUCAUAAUAAAGUAAUAAUAGUGUAAUAAGUGUGACAAGCAUUGGAUAAUCCAUAAUUCCAAAUUCCAAAUUCGUCAGGCAUUUUUUCCAGUUUAUUCUUCACGUCGAAUAAUUGAAUUUCAUUUAAUUAUUUGUUAAUAAAUAUCAAGUGUUCUAUGUUAUUACUAUGCCUUCCUUACCUAUUCAUUACCAUUUCACCACAAUCAAAAAACACAAUAUAAUUUAAUUUUACAUUAAUAUUUUAAAAUUAAGAUUAUUGUACAAUAUCUUUCUUCAAGUCCUUCAAGAAAUUACAAAAUAAAUUAGAAUAUAUCCCAUUGAAAUAUCCUGUUACAUAAUCUGCAUAUUUUACGGUGAAAAUAAGAAAUGUCCAUUGAACAAAAAAAUAUUAAUGAAACGAGACAGCUAAUGAAAGAUUAUUGUCUCAUUUAAAUUUAAUAAUAUUAAAAAUUUUAUUAUUAUAUAUGUUAAUAUAAUUUGUGAAAUAUCUUUGUGAAAGAUUCUAAAUAUUCAUUCUACAAAAAAUUCAAACAAACAUAAAAUUACCAUAUAAAAAUGUUACUUAUUUAUCAUGUUGAAUGAAUGAAGAUGGAAUAAAGGCAAUUCUAUCCGUAAUUAUACUACAUUUAACUUUAUCUGAUGCGAACUUAAAUUUUUUUAUAACUCGACAUAUUAUAACAACUUUUAUAUUUCUUUUAGUUUCUAGAAAAUAUUUCACAAAUAUAUCAAUUUGACAUCUCUCUUACUUUUUUCUCGUACAAAAUCUUCUAAUUCCAAUAUUUAAAUUAACCUCUCGUAAUUCUCUCCUAUCCUAGUUCGCCUUAAAAUAAACCCAGUGAAGCCAGCCGGGGAAAUGAGGCGGGGAACGGAAGAAAAAGCGGAACAAGAUUAUAUAUGCGCCUCGUAUAUAUAUAUAUAUAUAUAUAUCGAGAACGGUUUUUGAUCUAGUCCUUUUCCACCAAUUGCGGCGAAGAAAGAGGAAGCAAGUGUCGCGGGGGGGGGGGGGGGAAGGGGGCGCGCAUUUCCUUGAUUGCCGUCAGAAAAAGUGUACAAGCCUGUUGCGAAGACGUUGCGCAAGCGCAAAUUUUAAUUGAGCGUACCAACGGCUCUAGUGUCUCUCCGUCUCUCUCCCUCCCUCGAGGAAUCUUCCUGCGACGCGGCGUGCCAACUCGCGUCAUGCCACGCCACACUCCAAGUAUCAUCGUGUCGCGAAACAUUCGAGAAACUGCCAAACGACGGAAAGAACAAAAGAACUAGACAAGAGGGAACGAAAAAGGAACGAACUGACAGUUUUCACUCACCGUGCAGUUGCGUGAGCGAUUGCAGCGUGCUGGCAUUGCAGUUCAUGUAUCCUGAAACAGAGAAAAGGAAAGCAUGGAAGAUAAAAAGAAGAGGAAAUACGUACGAUAAGAAACGCUAACAGUGUAGUUUGAUAUAAACGUUGCAACAUAGUGUAUAAGAGAGUAUAGCUCCAUUUCUUUCCGUUAUUCUUUCUAUCCGUCUUCUAUCUCUGUCCGUUGACACGAAUCUUUUUUUCAUCGCAAGAUUUAUUUCUCGCGAUAAGCUCCAACUCGACGAAAUAUCUUUUUCUUUUUUUUUUUUUUUACUAAAAAUAUAUAACGAAAAAAACAGUUAGAUAGUAGAAAGGAGAAAGAAAGGAACGGAGAAAAAGAAAACAAAUAAAAUUAUAAAUGGACGUACGAAAGAAGAAGAAGAAGAGAAAGAAAGAAACGAAAAGUAUCCAUAAUAUUUGAUGAGGCGUUACCAAAGGAAGGAGGAAGGAGGGAAGGAGUGGAGGGGAGGCAAGCAACCUGGAACAAACCGUGCACGAGCAGAGAGAGGAGGUUUUCCCGUGGGGUAGAGUGUAAAGUUGCGCAGGUCAAGUCAGGUCAAGACACUCUAUAAGCGGACGAAAUAAAGGAUGAGAGAAAAGCGCGAUAUAUCAUCGUGAAAGAAAACAAAUAACCGCGAAAAAUUGUAACGAAAAACUUACAAUUCUAAAAGUUACUAUAAAAAUGCCAAGUUAUAUACAAUACGAGUGUCAACGAUGCAAACAAGAUAAAAAAAAUAAUAAUAAUCAUAAAUGUUUAUAUUUUGAUUAUUGCGUUCGAGUAAAAAAAUCUGUAUUUCGUAAAAUAAUUUUGAUUCAGCAAGUGAAACAAGAGGGGCGACGAAUCUUUUAAACUUUGUAAGAUUACAUCUCUUCCACGAGAGAAUGUACAAUGGGGAUCGUUCAAACGUGUUUCGACAUGACGCGACAGGACAUGAUUCGACACGAUGCAAUACUAGAGACGCGCGCGUGACAUGCGUCCUUGCCACGUGCACAAACAAAUACACGUUCACGUGAUCAUGUUAUAGGUUUACAUUUCAUUUUAAAGUUAUAGAUCAUUAAAUAAGCUCGUAUAUUUAUACGUUCUAUUAUAUCGAUCCAAUGUUUUUCGAAAACAACAACGAUUUUCUUUUUAAAUUGUAUCGUUGAAAAAAAUAUUUUUACGCGUGAAAUAAAAGGUAUCGCGAUACGAAAGUUAUAAAUGCGCCAAAUUUUAUUCAAAAAAUCGAUAUGAAUUAUCGGUUGAAAAAUGUAUAUAUAUAUAU